rnacentral:rRNA from 1 species
AAUCAACGCUGGCGGCGUGCCUAACACAUGCAAGUCGAGCGAGAAAAGGGGGGCAACUCCCUGAGUACAGCGGCGCACGGGUGAGUAACACGUGGGUAAUCUGCCCUGAAGUGGGGAAUAACACCGGGAAACCGGUGCUAAUACCGCAUACGAUCACAGAGUCUGCGGAUUUUGUGAUGAAAGGAGCAAUUCGCUUUAGGAGGAGCCCGCGGCUGAUUAGCUUGUUGGUGAGGUAAUGGCUCACCAAGGCUACGAUCAGUAUCCGGUCUG